rnacentral:rRNA from 1 species
AUUGAACGCUGGCGGCAGGCCUAACACAUGCAAGUCGAGCGGAUGAAGGGAGCUUGCUCCUGGAUUCAGAGGCGGACGGGUGAGUAAUGCCUAGGAAUCUGCCUGGUAGUGGGGGAUAACGUCCGGAAACGGGCGCUAAUACCGCAUACGUCCUGAGGGAGAAAGUGGGGGAUCUUCGGACCUCACGCUAUCAGAUGAGCCUAGGUCGGAUUAGCUAGUUGGUGGGGUAAAGGCCUACCAAGGCGACGAUCCGUAACUGGUCUGAGAGGAUGAUCAGUCACACUGGAAAUGAGACACGGGACACGCUGCCACAGGAGGCAGCAGUGGGGAAUAUUGAACAAUGGGCGAAAGCCUGAUCCAGCCAUGCCGCGUGUGUGAAGAAGGUCUUCGGAUUGUAAAGCACUUUAAGUUGGGAGGAAAGGCAGUAAGUUAAUACCUUGCUGUUUUGACGUUACCAACAGAAUAAGCACCGGCUAACUUCGUG